rnacentral:rRNA from 1 species
CCAACUCCCAUGGUGUGACGGGCGGUGUGUACAAGGCCCGGGAACGUAUUCACCGCAGCGUGCUGAUCUGCGAUUACUAGCGAUUCCACCUUCAUGCACUCGAGUUGCAGAGUGCAAUCCGAACUGAGACGGCUUUUGGAGAUUUGCUCCGGGUCACCCCUUCGCUUCCCAUUGUCACCGCCAUUGUAGCACGUGUGUAGCCCAGCCUGUAAGGGCCAUGAGGACUUGACGUCAUCCCCACCUUCCUCGCGGCUUAUCACCGGCAGUCCCCCUAGAGUGCCCAACUGAAUGAUGGCAACUAAGGGCGAGGGUUGCGCUCGUUGCGGGACUUAACCCAACAUCUCACGACACGAGCUGACGACAGCCAUGCAGCACCUGUGU